UUAUUAUUUCUCACUUCUUCGUCUUCCAUAGAGCUCGGUCCUUAGAUUCUUCAAUGGCGAGGUCAUCUCGCUGUAAUGGAGUUGUGAGAGAAAAUCGAGGUAACCUACUUGGUACGUCCCCCUUGUAAGCGACAUGUGCUUUAUUUGACUCACUCGUAAAAGCUACGGAAUUUGGAAUUCGGGAAACUCAUCUCCUGCUUGAAUUGAAUGAACACAGCCAUUGCAAUUCAUUUGAAGAUGCUUCCAAGAUAUUAGAUGAGCUCCGCAUAUUUGAUAACCAGGUGUAUGGUGUAGCCCAUGGACUCCUUAUGGGUUUCAGGGAAAACAUAUGGUUUCAGGCUCAAUCUCUAUUUGAUGAAAUCAAGCGUAUGGAUUCUUCAACAGCAUCUGCCUUUUAUAAUGCCCUUACAGAUAUGCUGUGGCACUUUGGUCAGGUAAAGUUGAAUUUUCAUCUUUUAGUUUUGUGAUAUGCUUACUACACAGGUAGUAUAAAUGCCUCAUCAGUGAGUAUGUGGAUGAUUAGAAUUAGAGGUUUAUAGGAGUUGAACCUUUUCUUUUGUGUUAAUCUGACUUUCACAUUUUCUGUUUUUAUAAUAAAUUGAAUUUGACAUUAGAAACGAGGGGCUCAGCUGGUUGUCCUUGAAGGGAGACGCAGAAAUGUGUGGAAUGGUGACUGGUCUGAUUCUUGCUUGGAUCUACAUCUUAUGUCUUGUGGUGCUGCUUGUGCAAUGGUCCAUAAAUUUUUUAUAAUACCAUCUUCAAAUAAGGGGAAUAAAAGCUUUGAUGCCUACUAGAAGUGCCUUUACGUAUGUAGGCUUUAGCAAGUGGAUGGAUACACACUGACGUAUUUUCUUUGAUUAUUUAUUCGAUUAUAUUUGUCAUUACCUUUUAUUUGAUUAUAUUAUAUUUUCUUUUUUUAUUCAGCAAUAUAAGAAUGCUUAUUCUGUUACAGCAAUAUAGGAUCUAUAUCUUUCCUUUUAGUAUUCUUCUGAUAUAUACACACAAAUGUAGUCCUUCUCAGUUCUGAUAUAAAAAAUUGAAUACACCUGGCCUCUUCUUUCAUUUCGCUUUUCUAACAUGUUCAUUUAAUUAUAGAGUUACUACUCAAAAUCCAGGAGGAGGAACUAAAUUCCAUUCUUGGGAAAAUGAGAAGGAAAUGCACUUCUUUUGGAUUUGGUAAUUUAGUAGGUGUCUAUCAAUGAUGGAAAGUAUAUCUUAGCAUGAAAAGAUAUGUUGUUGCUGCUUUAGCAAAUCGAUGUGACCCUUUACAAUGGUACCAAGUAUAUUUAGUGAUCUUUAUGUACUUUCUUCAAAGUAUGGUCUUGACCGUUUAUGCAUGCUUAUAGCUAGCUUAGAAUACACCAUAUCCUCAUAUUAGCAUUUUGUUGGACAGCACUGUAACUGUACGAAGAUACCUAAUGGCACCAACCAGGGCUUAAGGCAAAUGCUUGCAAUCUGAAAAUUGCACAUCUAUGAGUUUCUUAUCCCCUCCCCCUUAAUCUGUUUCUUGUGUUUGAUAUAAGACAGAUUUAAUAUCUGCUCCUCUAUGAGUGAAAAGUAUGUAACUAUAGAUGUUGAUAACUAAUUUAUUUUUGAUUGCAACACUAAUUUAUGCAGUUUUUCUGUCUCUUUUUUCCAUAUUACGAUGUUCCAAAUUCAUCAGAUCCUUUCAUAUAUCUGGCUACAGCACAGAUUAAGGCAAUGCUAAAUAGAUUAAAAGUCUCUAUUUAUGACUUGGAGCAAGGGGUCUUUAGUGUUGGUAUGAAGGAGGGUCUCAGCAUACUAAAAGCUUCAUUGACCUCAACAUCUGAGACAAACGGUCUCAACCAAUAUGUGAAAACCAUCAAGGAAGAGAAUUGACCAAGUAUUUUCGUUUUAUCUAAAAUUACUGAGAUCGUCGGUGGUAAAAAAAUCAAUACCUAUUUUAUUCCCUAGCUGUGUUAUAAGUUGAUGUUUGAGAUUAAUUGAUGGAAACCAUUUCAUUAAAUAUUUUGUUGUGUUUC